rnacentral:ncRNA from 1 species
AUAUAUACCAUGUACAUACCAUGUAUGUACAUAUAUAUACAUACAGAUAUAUACUUUAAAUCCUUCCGCGAGGAUCCAUUGGAGGGCAAGUCUGGUGCCAGCAGCCGCGGUAAUUCCAGCUCCAA